rnacentral:rRNA from 1 species
CAGUAGCCGCGGUAAUACGAAGGGUGCAAGCGUUACUCGGAAUUACUGGGCGUAAAGCGUGCGUAGGUGGUGGUUUAAGUCCGUUGUGAAAGCCCUGGGCUCAACCUGGGAAUUGCAGUGGAUACUGGCAAGCUAGAGUGUGUCAGAGGAUGGUGGAAUUCCCGGUGUAGCGGUGAAAUGCGUAGAGAUCGGGAGGAACAUCAGUGGCGAAGGCGGCCAUCUGGGACAACACUGACGCUGAGGCACGAAAGCGUGGGGAGCAAACAGGAUUAGAUACCCCCGUAGUCCCUGUCUCUUAUAC